rnacentral:rRNA from 1 species
GGCUUUGAAUUGUAUUGUGGAAAUGUAUUACCAACAGAGGUGCAGGUGCCAGCCUAUUGAAAUAAAGCGUCAAUGAGGGUGAGAAUCCUGUUUGUCAUGUGCAGCCCUUUGUGCACGGUGUAUAUUUGCUGAGUCACACUCCUUGGCAUUGGAAUGCAAAGUGGGUGGUAAGUUUCAUGUAAAGGUAAACAUGCAAUUGAGACUGAUAGCACACAAGUACCAUGAGGGAAAUAUGAAAAGGACUUUGAAAAGAGAAUUAAAUGAGUUUGUAUUUGCUGAACACAAAGUAAACAGACUUGAUUUGCUUGGUGGGAGUGUUGCACUUGCUUGACAAGAGCUUUGGGCUGUGGGUGUAAUGAUUCUUUCUUUGCAUGCCAGUUUCUAUUUGUACAUCUGAUUACCUUUGCACAUGAAUGAUAAGUCUCCUGUGGGGGGUGGAUUGCAUGUGCAUGUAAUGAUUUGUGUUUUGAUAAAUGUGUCUGGUGUAUGUGUGUGUUCCUGUGCUUGGGGAUGCUUCCUUCCUUGGACUUACAAGCCCUGACACACACAUGCUGGCAAAAUGCUUCUGCUUGACCCGUCUUGAAACACGGACCAAGGAGUCUAACAGAUGUGCAAAGUUUGAAGGUGGUAUACCUUUGUGUGCAAUGAAAGUGUCAGCUGGGAUAUGUGCACCAGCACCCAAUUAAUUAGCGGACAGAGGUUUGAGUUGGAGCAUAUCUAUUAGGACCCGAAAGAUGGUGAACUAUGCCUGAACAGAAUGAAUUCAGAGGAAACUCUGAUGGAGGUUCGUAUCGAUACUGACGUGCAAAUCGUUCGUCAUAUUUGGGUAUAGGGGCGAAAGACUAAUCGAACCAUCUAGUAGCUGGUUCCCUCCGAAGUUUCCCUCAGGAUAGCUGGAGUUGCUCAGUUUUAUCAGGUAAAGCGAAUGAUUAGAGGAAUUGGGGACAGGUUUGUCUUUGACCUAUUCUCAAACUUUAAAUGGGUAAUAU